GGAGAGUUGUCCGAGUGGUUUAAGGUGCGGCUCUCGAAAAGCCGUGUGGCUAAUACCCACCGAGGGUUCGAAUCCCUUGCUCUCCG
rnacentral:tRNA from 6 species